rnacentral:rRNA from 1 species
UACGGAGGGUGCAAGCGUUAUCCGGAUUCACUGGUUAAGGGUGCGUAGGCGGGUUGGUAAGUUCCGUGGUGAAAUCUCCGAGCUUAACUCGGAAACUGCCGUGGAUACUAUCAAUCUUGAAUAGUCGUGGAGGUAAGCGGAAUAUGUCAUGUAGCGGUGAAAUGCUUAGAUAUGACAUAGAACACCAAUUGCGUAGGCAGCUUACUACACGAUCAUUGACGCUGAGGCACGAAAGCGUGGGGUGCAAACAGG